rnacentral:lncRNA from 1 species
GCCGGAGACCGGAGCAAUGUCUGUGUUGUCCCCACAGUAGACACUCCUUGCUUCCUCUGGACAACUGGAGCAGGCCUAGUUUGACUGACAAGCCUUCCCACUAAGAAGUGAAUUUUCCCCACUGGCAAACGCAGCCAGUCAGUCUCCUGAGUCAAGAGCCAAGAGAUAGCCUAGCCCUUCCUCCCCUUGACAGGACUCGGUUGAGUCUUGUCUGUUGUGUUUCUUUGCAGCCCUCCUCCCCCCUUCAACCAGCACUUAGGCCCUCCCUGAUUUAGCCCGUUACCUUGACAACCACUUGGGCCUGUCUCCCUUAUCGCCACUGAAAACCUGAAGGUUUUCCAGCUGUGGUACAUUUGCCCGAGUUGGGCACCCCUCCAGCGUCUAUUGGCUCGCCCUCCGUGCUGUAGCCAAUAUAACAAACACAACCUUCCCGGUCCCUCAGCUGUGGUCUCGAAAUUGAUCUCACUGGUCCCGGGAACUCCCAUCACCUCCUCCAGACUGAGCUCCUCACAGGCGGGAACAUGGUUGUUUCUCAAUAAACAAGUUGAAAAAGG